CCAAUAGACUUACUCGUGCAAGGCCGGAUCUACCAUAUAGCUAUUUGGGCUUAAGCCCAGGGCCCCAUGAGUUCAAGGGCCCCCAGUUAUGUCAAGUCAAAGUCAAAAAUAAACAA